UACGUAGGGGGCAAGCGUUGUCCGGAUUUAUUGGGCGUAAAGAGCGUGUAGGCGGCCAGGUAGGUCCGUUGUGAAAACUCGAGGCUCAACCUCGAGACGCCGAUGGAAACCCUCAGACUAGAGUCCGGAAGAGGAGAGUGGAAUUCCUGGUGUAGCGGUGAAAUGACGCAGAUAUCAGGAAGAACACCCGUGGCUAAGGCGGCUCUCUAGUACGUGACUGACGCUGAGACGCGAAAGCGUGGGGAGCGAACAGG
rnacentral:rRNA from 1 species